rnacentral:lncRNA from 1 species
AUGAACGUCGUAAAAGUCAAAAACAGUGGUGUAGCUAUUGCAAAAGCUCAACACACAAAGACGCAUCUAGUGACGCAUGAAGAGGACGCAGAUAAACAUGCUGCAUUUGUCUUCAAAACGUGUGAUUAUCAACUAGACGGGCUGAAACAUAAAGGACUAAUGGCUGAUACGGGAGCAACAUCACACAUAAUUACCGACAUCGGAAAGUUUAAGAAAUUUGACGAGACUUUCCAAACGGGCAAACAUUUCAUUGAGCUUGCGGACGGGACAAGAGCGAGUGGCGUUGCGCUGAAGAGAGGUGACGCGGAGAUAUGUUUGAUUGACAGUGAAGGAAAGCAAGUGAGUACAACGCUAAAGAAAGCACUGUACAUUCCUUCAUAUCCACAAGACAUAUUCUCUGUUAAAGCAGCGACUGCCAACGGGGCUUCUGUUCGUUUUCGACAAGGACAUGACGAGCUCAUCCACAAGGAUGGCACGAGAUUUGAAAUAAAAGAGUAUAAUAGACUGUACUAUCUAAACACUAUAGAUAAGGGAGGAGAUUAUUGUAACGGCUGUUACGACAUUCAAACUUGGCACGAAAUCCUCGGCCACUGCAACUAUGAUGAUGUUUCCAAGUUGCCAGAUAUUGUGGAAGGAAUGGAAAUCAAAGGAAAGAUUGACAAGUCCAAACUGCACUGUGAAGUCUGCACACAAGGCAAAUUUGCGCAAAGCAGGAACAGAGAACCCGAUGCACGUGCCAAAGUCCCACUUGAACUUGUGCACACAGACUUGGCUGGUCCUAUUCAACCAGAGGCUAAAGAUGGUCACAGGUAUGCACUUGUAUUUGUUGAUGAUUUCUCAGGCACAAUAUUUGUUUACUUCCUGAAAGCGAAAAGUGACACUGUAAAGGCUACGGAAAAAUUCCUAGCAGACACUGCUCCUUAUGGUACUGUAAAGUGCAUUAGGUCAGAUAAUGGCACUGAAUUCACAGCAACAAAUUUUCGGUCAUUGCUAAGCAAAAAUCGCAUUAAACAUGAGACCUCUGCACCGUAUUCACCCCACCAAAACGGUACUGCUGAAAGAAGUUGGCGAACAUUGUUUGAAAUGGCCAGAUGCAUGCUCAUUGAGAGUAAAUUACCAAAAGAGUUAUGGACUUACGCUGUGAUGACUGCUGCAGUAAUUCGCAACAGAUGCAUUAAUAACAGAGUAAAGCAGACUCCAUACUACAUGUUGACAGGAAGAAAACCGGAUCUUUCAAAGAUGAGAGUUUUUGGAUCCAUGUGCUAUGCAUACAAACACGACAGAAAGAAGCUAGAUUCACGUUGUGAGAAGGGAAUAUUUGUUGGGUAUGACAAGAAUAGCCCUUCAUACCUAGUGUAUUACACAGACACUGGAAGAGUCCUUAAACACAGGCUUGUCAAAUUCUUCAAGAAAUGUGCUGUCGAGCAGCAAACUCAAACUGACCCACAAAUACCAGAUGAGGAUGUUUAUGGGGGAAGUUAUUUGCCAUCUAAGGUAACAACAAACAUCACUGAACAGAGUUCAGGGAAGUCUCAAGAUAGUGGAGACAAAACAGAUCUUCAAAAUGAUGAUCAGACUGAAAAUAUUCAGAAUAGAUGCAACCCCAAAAGGAACAGGAAAGCUCCCCAAUACUUAUCUGACUACGUAACUGGUAUUGAAGAUGAUGAUCAGAUACUUACUAAUAUUGACUACUGUUACAGAAUGUGUAAUGUACCACAAACCUUCAAGGAAGCCAUGAGUUCAACCAAAUCACAGAUCUGGAUUAAAGCCAUGGAAGAAGAGAUGGAUUCUCUAAAAGAAAAUGGAACUUUUACGUUGAUGGCUCUACCCGAAGGCAAACAUGCAGUGGGGGGUAGAUGGGUCUAUGCAAUCAAGAACAAUGCAGAUAACAAUGAAACAUAUAAGGCUAGAUAUGUUGCUAAGGGUUAUAGUCAAGUAAUGGGAAGAGACUAUAAGGAAACCUUUUCUCCAACAGCAAAUAUCACAUCAGUUCGUGUCUUGAUGCAAAUGGCAGCACAGUAUGACCUUGUUCUACAUCAGAUGGAUGUGAAAACGGCUUACUUACAUGCUCCAAUUGAUUGUGAGAUCUAUGUGGAACAGCCAGAAGGUUUUGAGGUAAAAUCAAAUACUGGUGAAAAACUUGUCUGUAAACUGAACAAGUCAUUGUAUGGUCUGAAACAGUCAGGUAGAAACUGGAAUAAGUUACUGCAUGAUUACCUGAGUGAAAAUGACUUUAUGCAAAAUCCUGCAGACUCUUGUGUCUACAGCAGACAAACUGGAAAAGAGAGAGUGAUGCUAAUAAUCUGGGUUGAUGAUCUGAUUAUUGCUUCUAGUACCAACGAGUUACUAAAUGAUGUGAAAAGGAUGCUGACAGCUAAAUUCAAGAUGAAAGACCUUGGUAAAUUAAAACAUUUCCUAGGCAUUGAUUUUGAGCAAAUGGAUGGAGUUGUGAAAAUGAAUCAAAAGGGGUACAUCUUAAAAAUACUGGAAAGGUUCAACAUGUCGAAUAGUAAGUCCAGAUCGACCCCAUGUGAACAA